rnacentral:rRNA from 1 species
UUGCCCUAGUAACGGCGAGUGAAGCGGCAACAGCUCAAAUUUGAAAUCUGGCUCUUUCAGGGUCCGAGUUGUAAUUUGCAGAGGGCGCUUUGGCAUUGGCAGCGGUCCAAGUUCUUUGGAACAGGACGUCACAGAGGGUGAGAAUCCCGUACGUGGUCGCUAGCCUUUGCCGUGUAAAGCCCCUUCGACGAGUCGAGUUGUUUGGGAAUGCAGCUCUAAAUGGGAGGUAAAUUUCUUCUAAAGCUAAAUACUGGCCAGAGACCGAUAGCGCACAAGUAGAGUGAUCGAAAGAUGAAAAGCACUUUGGAAAGAGAGUCAAAUAGCACGUGAAAUUGUUGAAAGGGAAGCGCUUGCAGCCAGACUUGCCUGUAGUUGCUUAUCUGGACUUUUGUCCGGUGCACUCUUCUGCGGGCAGGCCAGCAUCAGUUUGGGCGGUUGGAUAAAGGUCUCUGUCAUGUACCUCUCUUCGGGGAGGCCUUAUAGGGGAGACGACAUGCAACCAGCCUGGACUGAGGUCCGCGCAUUUGCUAGGAUGCUGGCGUAAUGGCUGUAAGCGGCCCGUCUUGAAACACGGACCAAGGAGUCUAACAUCUAUGCGAGUGUUUGGGUGUCAAGCCCAGACGCGUAAUGAAAGUGAACGGAGGUGGGAACCCUUUGGGUGCACCAUCGACCGAUCCUGAUGUCUUCGGAUGGAUUUGAGUAAGAGCAUGGCUGUUGGGACCCGAAAGAUGGUGAACUAUGCUUGAAUAGGGUGAAGCCAGAGGAAACUCUGGUGGAGGCUCGCAGCGGUUCUGACGUGCAAAUCGAUCGUCAAAUUU